GAUGAAGAACGUAGCGAAAUGCGAUAAGUAAUGUGAAUUGCAGAAUUCAGUGAAUCAUCGAAUCUUUGAACGCACAUUGCGCCCGGCAGCAAUCUGCCGGGCAUGCCUGUCCGAGCGUCAUUUCUUCCCUCGAGCGCGGCUAGCCCUACGGGGCCUGCCGUCGCCCGGUGUUGGGGCUCUACGGGUGGGGCUCGUCCCCCCCGCAGUCCCCGAAAUGUAGUGGCGGUCCAGCCGCGGCGCCCCCUGCGUAGUAGAUCCUACAUCUCGCAUCGGGUCCCGGCGAAGGCCAGCCGUCGAACCUUUUAUUUCAUGGUUUGACCUCGGAUCAGGUAGGGUUACCCGCUGAACUUAAGCAUAUCAAUAAGCGGAGGA
rnacentral:misc_RNA from 1 species